rnacentral:rRNA from 1 species
CCCGUAGGGGGCAAGCGUUGUCCGGAUUUAUUGGGCGUAAAGAGCUCGUAGGUGGCUGAGUAAGUCGGAUGUUAAAUCCCCAGGCUCAACCUGGGACACCACCCGAUACUGCUCUGGCUAGAGUCCGGUAGGGGAGCGUGGAAUUCCUGGUGUAGCGGUGAAAUGCGUAGAUAUCUGGAGGAACACCGGUGGCGAAGGCGGCAUCCUGGACCGGCAUUGACGCUGAGGAGCGAAAGCCAGGGGAGCAAACGGG